rnacentral:rRNA from 1 species
AUUGAACGCUGGCGGCAUGCCUUACACAUGCAAGUCGAACGGCAGCACGGGAGCUUGCUCCUGGUGGCGAGUGGCGAACGGGUGAGUAAUACAUCGGAACGUACCCUGAAGUGGGGGAUAACGUAGCGAAAGUUACGCUAAUACCGCAUAUUCUGUGAGCAGGAAAGAGGGGGAUCGCAAGACCUCUUGCUUUAGGAGCGGCCGAUGUCGGAUUAGCUAGUUGGUGAGGUAAAAGGCUCACCAAGGCGACGAUCCGUAGCGGGUCUGAGAGGAUGAUCCGCCACACUGGGACUGAGACACGGCCCAGACUCCUACGGGAGGCAGCAGUGGGGAAUUUUGGACAAUGGGCGCAAGCCUGAUCCAGCCAUGCCGCGUGUCUGAAGAAGGCCUUCGGUUGU